AGAUGAGCCUAGGUCGGAUUAGCUAGUUGGUNAGGUAAUGGCUCACCAAGGCGACGAUCCGUAACUGGUCUGANAGGAUGAUCAGUCACACUGGAACUGAGACACGGUCCAGACUCCUACGGGAGGCAGCAUGGGGAAUAUUGGACAAUGGGCGAAAGCCUGAUCCAGCCAUGCCGCGUGUGUGAAGAAGGUCUUCGGAUUGUAAAGCACUUUAAGUUGGGAGGAAGGGUAGUAACCUAAUACGUUGCUACUUUGACGUUACCGACAGAAUAAGCACCGGCUAACUUCGUG
rnacentral:rRNA from 1 species